GGUAAAAGAUCAGAUGCUCUACUGAUCUUUAGAAUAUCCUGUUACUGCAUUGUGGUCAUCAUCGCUUGUUGUCUUUUAUACAUAAUACAUCAACUUAUAAAAGCAUGUUGUGAUAAAUAUAUUAUGAACAGAAGACAAAGUGCAGUAAAAGUGUCCAAACAACAUAAUGAAAGCACAUCCCCACUUCCUUCCAAAGAGAAGAUGAAUAAACAGCAGAAACCAGAAGAAAAGCUUGACUCAGACAUGAACACUAUCACUCUACUUGAGGAUACCAGAAAGAAUCAGCAAGUCAAGCAACACCCAUCAACUGGCGAGUAGAAGUUAUCAGAACAAGCAACACAGGCACUUUAAAUCAUGUCACAAUGAGAAAAGUCCCCUCCUCCGCUUCUCUAAAAGAGGAAAACAUUCACUAAUAAUGAAUCAGGACUCCUGAUGUCAACACCACAAACCCCUUUAAUGCAUACCUUACAGUAAUUGUAACCAGGCCUAACCAUGUGUCAUUAUUGAACAUUUACAGAUGAUUAUUGAUUAUGCACUGCAGGAAUAUUUUGAGACAAUUGUUUGAAUUUUACAAUGAUUAAAGCAUUGUGAAAAAUGAUUGUGGAAAAAAGUUCGGUUUUUAAAAAAAUAUAUAUGGGUAUGUCAUUGUACAACAAUUAUUCACUUUAGGAGUAUUUUGACCAAAAGUUUGACAUUUUACAAAAACAUUUUACAGAAAUGAAAACACUAUCAAAUAAAAACAUCAAUCUAAAAAGUCAAUGGCAGUUUUGCAAAAGGGCGCUUGGAUAUUGAUUACAUAAAAAAUAGUAUUUCUACUCAGAUCAGACAUAUUUACAGCUGCUAUUACCUACAGUUCUACAGCAACACAACAACUCUCUGUAGAUGUAUGAAACAUCCCUCUAGUCAGGCAAUCCCCUCCCACUCAUCUGAGCAUUAGAGUGGUCCACCACAUUUUGAUGUCAUGGGUGCAUUUACAAAAGAAAAAGGGCUAAUUGUCGAUGUUGAGUGGUACAUUUUAAACUAAUAAUAACCUUUUGGCUGCCUUCUGGGAAUUGCAGGGGGGUUACAAAACCCUGUGAGUUGUCGGUGCUAGAUAACUCCAGGGUGAAUCAAUAGGUAUUUUACCUGUACUUUUACUUAAUUGACAUUGUUUUUAACAUUUUAAUAACGUUCUGUUUUGUUCCUGCUAACAUGACAGUGCACAGCUGUGUAAGCAAACCAAACAGGGAGGAGGUAGACGAUGGGAACGCAGCAAUGCUGCUUAGUACUGGUAUUACAGUUACGUAGUAUUCCAGUCCUGGAGCAAAGAAAAGUUCAUUAUUGAUUUCCGGCCAUAUGAAGAUGAAGUUUGUCAAUAUCUGUGUUGUUUGACAAAUGUUUUGCACUUUUCCUUUAGCCGGGUUAUUGUCACUUUGCCACUGUUGUGUUAAAACAGUCAUUGUAUAUAUAAGCUAUAGUGUAUAUUUUAGUCUUUAUAUGAUAUUAUUAUAAUAUUAUUUAACUUUCUUUAUUUUCAUGUGUGUCCAGUCAGUGUCCUCCCCCUCGUUUUGUACAUCAUGCCGCAACUUUGCAAGUAUGUAUGUAUGUAUGUAUGUAUGCAUGUAUGUAUGUAUGUAUGUAUGUAGCGUGUAAUGCAGCUUGCUACAAUUCUGUGGGGAUAGCUUCGCCUGUAGCUUAGCUACAUUAAAUGGAGAGUAACUAGUAGCUUAUCUUACGACAAUAAAAAUAUUUUAUCAAAUAAUUUGUCUGUUUAGACAAAAUUGUAAGAAUUUGACAAUGGUAAUUUUGAAUAGUUAAAAAGUUUACAUAGACUGUUACUCUGUAGUGAAUUACAAUUGGCUUACACGGCUUUUAAACAUGAGUGUGUAUUUCUGUUUUCAUUUAUUUUAUAAAGCAGAAGUUGCUUUGUUGGUCACGCCAAAUAAA